GCACAGAAAACAUCAUCUCAUGUCAGCUGCAAAGCUACAGCCAGGCCCCUGGGCCCUACUGACACCUGCACACAGUGGGCCUUGGUGGUUCCAGGAGCAACAGCAGGAGUUUUAAUUGUGAUGUUUAAUAUCUCUGUCAAUGAUCUGGAUCAGCGGAUUGAGAGUACCCUCACUAAAGCUGUAGAUGACACCAAGUUGGUUGGGAGUGUUGAUCUGCUGGAAGCUUUGCCAGUUCUUUGCUCAUCACGCUCAUCACUCUUCCUGGGCUGAGUUUCAUAGAAUCCAAGUUUGGAAGGACAUAAUCUUUCUGAAGAACAGGAGCCACUCCGUGAUCAAGGAGCCCUCUUUUUGUCAAGCGGCAAAAGCAGAGCCAAGAUAUGCUGAAAAAGCUGAUAUCAACAGGACAUUUUGACAUUAAACUGAAAAGACUCAAUGAAAGUUUCUGCCUUGGACCUCAGCUUGUGCCAAUCACAGAAAGUCCAGAUAUAGAGUCUUUUCUAGAUGUUCUGCAUCCACAGAAAAUAGUUAUGACAACUUCUCCUAAAAAUACUUUUCUUUAUAUGUCUGGAAGUACAUGUAUAAUAUUUUAUGUUUUUCCCAUUGCUAUAUGUUUAAUAACAAUCCUGGUUUAUGUUCUUUUCUAAACUUGGACCAGAAAUGCUACAUUGUUUGUCCACAGUCAUACCAGAAUGUCUGAAAAUGACAUUUGGAUUCUCUCCAAGUUAUUGGGAUGAAUAUACUGCUCUGCUACAAAAAAAAAAAAAAAAAAAAAAAAAAAAAAAAAAAAAAAAAAAAAAAAAAAAAUCUUCCUUGGCUAUAAAGUUCCCAUACUUACCUCUCCUACCCUAUACUCUAUAGCUGUGUUUCUGCAGCCCUGUGACCCUUGUCUCAUAAGCACCUCUGAAAAGGUGUUACAGGCAGGAUAUUGAGGGCAGUGAGGAAUUAAAGCACUUGCCACAGAUGUGUGUGUGCAUGGGAGCUGUUCUGCUAAUGGUGGGAGGCAUGAGAACUUCAUGUCCAGUGCAGCCACAGGCAGCAGCUUUGUCUCGGCAGCUGCUGGGUUGAUGUUGCAGCCACUGUGAAAAUGUGGUCAGACCACAUACUUAAUUGAGUUCAGAUGUAUGAGGAGCAGAUAAUCUUACUUGGACUGACACCCUUACACUUCUCACACCUUAUAACUCCUACUUGCCUUCCAUCACAGGACAUCCACCAUAAUCCCAAUCUCCUCCCAUACCCAGUACUUCAAUCUUAUAUUCCCUUCUCUUGCAAUACCCUUUUCCUCUUUCAGGCUUCUGUCUCCUGCAAAACCUACCUCUCAAAUCCAAUAUCCCCUGAAUUUUAUGUUGGCCACUCCCACCUCCAGCCUCAAGCCCAUGUUCCUCUCAGUUGCUUUUUGUCACCUCUUGAGAUAUCUCACAGGCAUCCAGCCCAACAGCUUCACCUGGAGCCAUCCAGCACCAAAAGCCUGGAUGUGAGAGGCAGCAACACUGGCAGACCUGCCCCUACAGGGACCCUCAGAACAAGUCAGAGCAAGGGAAUGAGCUUUAACUGGCUCCUGGUGACAGCCAACUAUAUUGUGUGCUGGAUGAAGCCUAGUGACUAAGUGCAAAGCAGAUUUAUUGUGGACAAUGCUGCCUCCUUGGGCUUGGGCAAUUAAAUAUUGUGUAUCUCACACCUCUGUUUAUGAAACAACUUGAGGAAUUUACUCAGCACAAAAAUGAAGCAAUCAGAAGGGCUAUGGAAAUGCUAAGUUAUUGUUACAACCACUGAGUAGGUGGACUAGAGUUAUGUGCUUAAGGCUGUGUAUUCACUGAUUGAUAACUUAGAAACAGGCAGCCUUUUUAUUUUCAAUUAAAUAUACAUCUGCGCCUUAUCUGGCUUCUUUCUCAAUUAACCUUACUCCUAGCUGUAUUGUAAAUGCCUUUGAAACAGAAGAUGGAGAACACAGGUGGUUUCUAGGAUGGGAGGAUGAAUAAAAGAGACAGAUCAUGUGAAUUAUCUCAGCUGAAGCAAUAAAAUGUGAGUGACCUGGGAA